rnacentral:rRNA from 1 species
AUGAGAUCGCUGCCUAUUUUAGUUCUUUCCCUCCUGAUUCUUGUCCUUGCUGCCCAUGUAUCCCAAGCCGAUGACAAGGGCUCUUCGGUUGGAAAUGGGAAGGAUUCCCAUGACGGUGAUGGUCAUAAAUCAAAUGGUGUAGGGCCGGUGAAAAAACCAAAGUGCCCUAAGCCCGGACAUGGUUCGAAAAACCAUGACAAUGAUGGUCGAGGACCACCAGAAAAGGAGUGCGAUGAUGGAGAGACAACACCGUCAUCACCUGGGCCUUCCCCAGACCAAGGUAAUGGUUCACCAUCACCACCGCCAUCCCCAUCCUAUUCACCACCGGUGACUCCAUCACCUCCACCUUCGUCAGAAACUAGUCCUCCUACUACACCUCCACCCUACCAACCUAGCAAUCAAUCUCCUCCGCCGUCAUCCUCAAGCCCCCCACCAACACCUUCAUCUAGUCCACCUGUUACACCUCCAACCUACGAACCUAAUGAUCAAUCGCCACCGCCUCCAUCUAGUGUGCCCGCGGCACCUCCAAUGAACCCGACUAAUGAUCAGCCUCCUCCACCAACAACGUCAUCUAGCCCCCCACCAACACCUCCGUCUAGUCCCCCUGUUAUGCCUCCAUCCUACGAACCCAACGAUCAAUCGCCACCACCUACAUUGAAUCCUCCAUCCAUUCCAUCACCACCUCCAUCAAGCCCAACUGCGGCACCUCCUAUGAACCCGACUACUAAUCAGCCUCCCCCACCAUCAUCGUCAUCUAGCCCGCCACCAAUAGCUCCAACUACUCAACCACCUGCCUCUAGCCCACCUGCUACACCUCCAACAGACUCAACUGAUGAGGAAACUCCAACAUCACCACCAUCAUCUAGUCCACCACUAACUCUAUCAAGUCCUCCACCACCGUCAUCAAGUACACCACCGGCUCCAUCCAUUGCCACACCACCUUUGUCUAGUCCCCCCGCUACACCUCCAACGUACCAAGAUGAUGACCAGUCCCCUCCACCUCCACCAUCAUACAACCCGCCACCGACAGCUUUAGCUAGUCCUCCACCACCACCAUUGAGUCCGCCAGCAAUAGCACCAACCACUAGCGCACCUCCUCCAUCUACUUCCCCACCGCCUAUGUCUAGUCCACCAGCAACACCUCCAAUAGACUCAACUGAUGAGCAAACUCCAUCACCACCACCAUCUAGUCCACCAGUAGCUCUAUCAAGUCCUCCACCACCAUCAUCAAGUACACCACCGGCUCCAUCCAUUGCCACACCACCUUUGUCUAGUCCACCUGCUACACCUCCAACGUACCAAGCUAAUGACCAGUCCCCUCCACCUCCACCAUCAUAUAGUCUGCCGCCAUCAGCUUUAGCUAGUCCUCCACCACCACCAUUGAGUCCACCGGCAAUAGCACCAACCACUAGCGCACCUCCUCCAUCUACUUACCCAUCACCUAUGUCUAGUCCACCAGCAACACCUCCAACGGACUCAACUGAUGAGCAAACUCCAUCACCACCACCAUCUAAUCCACCAUAG